GGCCAUCCAAUCACGUGAUGGAUUGAGUUUCGACCGUCGGAUCGUGCAAAAGCUUUCUCUUAUCAACCGACAAUGAACAGCAGCCAUUGGAUCUGAGUUGGGAUGAUUAUGGAUCGUUGGAUCCUGUAAAAUCAUCUGAACCCUCUGUGAGCCGUGCCUGUGGAUCGCGCCCUGACUCUGUGGACCGAGCUGCCGAUCCACCAUGCAUUGAAGGUAAUAAAUUUUAUUUUUAAAGGUAUGUUGGCUUG
rnacentral:lncRNA from 1 species